CUUAAGAUUCAAAUAUAAAGUAUUCUUAAACUUUUAUUAAAA
rnacentral:tRNA from 1 species